rnacentral:rRNA from 1 species
GAUGAACGCUGGCGGCGUGCCUAAUACAUGCAAGUCGAGCGAACGGACGAGAAACUUGCUUCUCUGAUGUUAGCGGCGGACGGGUGAGUAACACGUGGAUAACCUACCUAUAAGACUGGGAUAACUUCGGGAAACCGGAGCUAAUACCGGCUAAUAUUUUGAACCGCAUGGUUCAAAAGUGAAAGACGGUCUUGCUGUCACUUAUAGAUGGAUCCGCGCUGCAUUAGCUAGUUGGUAAGGUAACGGCUUACCAAGGCAACGAUGCAUAGCCGACCUGAGAGGGUGAUCGGCCACACUGGAACUGAGACACGGUCCAGACUCCUACGGGAGGCAGCAGUAGGGAAUCUUCCGCAAUGGGCGAAAGCCUGACGGAGCAACGCCGCGUGAGUGAUGAAGGUCUUCGGAUCGUAAAACUCUGUUAGUAGGGAAGAACAUAUGUGUAAGUAACUGUGCACAUCUUGACGGUACCUAAUCAGAAAGCCACGGCUAACUACGUG